rnacentral:SRP_RNA from 1 species
GCCUAUAGUUCCACCUGUUUGGGAGGCUGAGGUAGGAGGAUCACUUGAGUCUAGAAGUUAUGGCUAUAGUGUGCUCUGCCAAUUGAGUGUCCACACUAAGUUCAGCAUCAAUAUGGUGACCUCCUGGGGUGGAGGACCACCAGGUUGUCUUAAGAAGGGUGAAUCAACAUGGGGCAGAAACAGAGCAGGUCAAAACUCCCAUUCUGAUCAGUAGUGGGAUUGCACCUGUGAAUAGUCAUUGAACUUCAGCCUGGGCAACACAGUGAGACCCUGUCUCU